CGCCAGUCGACCACCACCGCACUUCGAUCUCUGCUGCUUCCAUCUGCCCUCUGCUACUUCGAUUCGCCCUCUGCUGCUUUGGGACUUAGAUUCCCGGAGUUUCGAGCAAUAGCCAGUUCAUCUUUUUGUUCACUCAUUUGGGAUUUCAGGAGAGAUAGCUAAGAUUUGGGAUACAAGAAAGCAAUAAAUGGGUUUGGUAAUGGGCGUUUGUGUUGUUCUGAAGAGGGAGAUGCAGGGAAUGCCUCUGGAAUGUGUAGGCACACACCCACACCCUUUGAAUCGAUCUGAAUGAUGCUCUCAACUUCGGUACCGGGUUUUGGGACAUUAGCGUUUACGGCUUGUUGUUUGGUUGCCCAAAAGACCACUGGCACUCUCUUAUCUCACCUUUAUGAGUUCUGCAAUCCCUUGACCAAGCUGCUCGAAAGGAUCUCAUUCCAAUAAAGUUGGGAGUGAAGGCAGCUAAGUUUGCCAAGCAAAUAGUUAACACUCAGAUGAAAUCAUUUAAGUGUAUGGAAUAUUUGCAGAUUAGAGUAAUCCCUACUUGACUCUUGAUCCAAAAUAUAAAGCUUGUUUCUCUGAGUGGAAAGAUCUAUUAGGUCCAUCAUGGAAUUUAAGACACAAGUCCAUAAUCACAAGGUGAAUCUCAUAUGGAACAACUCCAAGUUGGAGACCAGUGGAGCGGGUAGUCCAUGAGUGGACAUUUAAGUGAUAUUCUGGAGCUUUCUUGAGUGGACGAUUGCUUGGUUUUACUUUGUGUUGUAUCGUGCCAAUGAGUUGUUAGUACUGACAGAUAAGCAAAUAGUUGCCAAGGUGACAUCUUACCUGUCAAAGGGCAUCAAGGACUUCGAGAAUGCUGCUGAGAUAAAUAAGGACAAGUUUUAUGUUUUCCGGCUUUAUGUAUUUAUAUGCACUUAGGGAAUGUUAAUUCCUAUGUAAAUGUUGAGAUGAAUAUUGCUGAUGGAAUGAAAUGAUUUUUGGAAUCAAGGAUGUGUUGUUCAAUUGUACAUAA